rnacentral:tRNA from 1 species
GCCCACGGUGGCUCAGAUGGAUAGAGCGUCUGCCAUGUAAGCAGGAGGUCCCGGGUUGGAGUCCCGGUCGGGGCA